GAAAAUUGAGUUUCCAUCCCAACCUUUACGAGUGUUGUAAUACCUCCCUAUACUUGUACAAAGUGAAUUUAAUACCACUUUCAUGGCCUGGGGUAUUCCACACGCGCAUGCCAUAUCAGUGCCACAUCAACGCCAUUCCAGAAAUGCAAUAAAUUAAUCUUUUUGACUAUUUUUCUAUUUUUCGUUCACAUAUUCUUCUUCUUCUUUUUUUCAUACCUACCACCAAAACCUCCAUUAUCAACGGGUUCAUAGCUUUGAUUUCAUUUGAAUGAAUUAAUUUGUUGAGUCCAAAGAGAAAAAAAGACAAGAAAGAAAUGAAAUUUACUACACAAAAUUUGUGACGCCAUAGGUUGGUGAUAAGGGGGUCGAGAUCUAAUUGGGUUUUGUUUGUUGAAUCACCGGAGAAAUAUAGAAGUUUGCCGACAGAACUGAAGAAAGAAAUAGAAAAAUUUGCUAGAGGAAUCUAAAAGUUUGCCAGAGGAAUCUAAAAGUUUGCCGGAGGAAGUUGAAAGUUGAAGAAAAAUAAAGGAAAACGAGCAAGAAUCUGCUCUUAAAAAGGAGUGUAGCGAAAAUGGAAAAGAAAGAAAUGGGGUUGAGAUGGAGAAGAAAG
rnacentral:lncRNA from 1 species